GACCGUCUCGGCUCGUUCUCAUCUCAGACAGGAAGCAGAGCGGGGCAGCGCGGACCCACAGUCAGCUCUGUGCAAACAGGCGGUGGAAACUCCCAACAGAUCCGCCACAGAGGCUACUGCUUCCUUUUGAGCCUCCGUUGCCUGUGCUGAGCUCCUGAGGGCCAACCAGCAGCCUGGCGGGGAUGUCCUAGCAGCCAGACUUCUCUGGAUGUCAUGUUUCAGUUGAAACACAAUCAGAUGAGGUUUCCUGACUCCACAUCUGGAAUUUUGGUUUCACAGAUUAAAACAACUAAUCACAGUGUUUUAAAGAAUAAGCAUCUUGCUUAAAAAGCCUGGGGCUCAGCUCUGUGGUCAGACCUCAUGGACGUAGCAUCUAAAGGCCUGAAGUGCCACAGCUGAGGUACCACACUUGGGGUCCUGGAUGAUCCCAAACUGCCCAUGGAUGUGGGCUGUGGAUCAUCCUGCCUUGGGCACGGGAAUUCAAGUGGCCAGGCACCCAACUAAAGCCCUCAAACAGACUCUCAGUUUGGUAGCAGGCAGGGAAGGUGUCUAUGCCCAGGUGUGAAAUACUGAUCACACGAUAGAUAUGGUUAAGCUUCAAAGUCUCUACCUGGGGCACAUGCAGCAUAUUUAAUCCCAGCUUUUCCACUUUGUCCUAUUAUCUGGCACAGACAGUAACCCAAUACUUUGUGUCUGGACUCCGGUACCCACUGGAAUAAACAUGUGUUUCUUGUGCUGUUAUUCAUUUAAUACAUUGCAUAGCAUGGUAUUCCAACACACUCAUGCCUGAGGGGGAUUUCUGCAGGUGAGCGGGUCUCACUUGUAGAGGCCGUGACUCUAGGUGGAAGCCAAGGAUUGCAAAAUGUGGUCCUCAUAUAUAUUUAUGAAUGAAUCUUCUGUACUGCACAUGUUAACUGCAAAUAAAAUCCACAUCUGGUUUGUCACUUUC